rnacentral:rRNA from 1 species
CUUUGGGUUGUAAACUGCUUUUAUAUAGGAAGAACUGUAGAGACUUGUCUUUAUUUGACGGUACUAUAUGAAUAAGGACCGGCUAACUACGUGCCAGCAGCCGCGGUAAUACGUAGGGUCCGAGCGUUAUCCGGAAUUAUUGGGUUUAAAGGGUCCGUAGGCGGGUCUUUAAGUCAGUGGUGAAAGCCUGCAGCUUAACUGUAGAAUUGCCAUUGAUACUGAUAGUCUUGAGUGUGGUUGAAGUGGGCGGAAUAUGACAUGUAGCGGUGAAAUGCAUAGAGAUGUCAUAGAACACCGAUUGCGAAGGCAGCUCACUAAACCAUUACUGACGCUCAGGGACGAAAGCGUGGGUAGCGAACAGGAUUAGAUACCCUGGUAGUCCACGCUGUAAACGAUGUUCACUAGACGUCGGGGGUUAGGCCUCCGGUGUCGCAGCUAACGCAUUAAGUGAACCGCCUGGGGAGUACGGCCGCAAGGUUAAAACUCAAAGGAAUUGACGGGGGCUCACACAAGCGGUGGAGGAUGUGGCUUAAUUCGAGGCAACGCGAAGAACCUUAUCCCGGACUUGACAUCUAUGGAUUAGCAUUGUGAAAGCAGUGUGACGCCUUCGGGUGGAACAUAGACAGGUGCUGCAUGGCUGUCGUCAGCUCGUGCCG